GCGGGUACUAGGCUGUUUGGUCAGGGUCGGAGAGUUUUCACCUAUUUCCACAUCCUCCCGGAGGAAAGUCCAUCUGCCUUCCGAUGUAUAGUCAUGUGGGUAUCUCAGACGUCCUGAGAUGCUGUCUGGAUAUCCUUUGUU
rnacentral:pre_miRNA from 1 species